GUGGGGAAUAUUGGACAAUGGGGGGAACCCUGAUCCAGCCAUGCCGCGUGUGUGAAGAAGGCCUUUUGGUUGUAAAGCACUUUAAGCGAGGAGGAGGCUACCGAGAUUAAUACUCUUGGAUAGUGGACGUUACUCGCAGAAUAAGCACUGGCUAACUCUGUGCCAGCAGCCGCGGUAAUACAGAGGGUGCAAGCGUUAAUCGGAUUUACUGGGCGUAAAGCGCGCGUAGGUGGCCAAUUAAGUCAAAUGUGAAAUCCCCGAGCUUAACUUGGGAAUUGCAUUCGAUACUGGUUGGCUAGAGUAUGGGAGAGGAUGGUAGAAUUCCAGGUGUAGCGGUGAAAUGCGUAGAGAUCUGGAGGAAUACCGAUGGCGAAGGCAGCCAUCUGGCCUAAUACUGACACUGAGGUGCGAAAGCAUGGGGAGCAAACAGGAUUAGAUACCCGGGUAGUCC
rnacentral:rRNA from 1 species